rnacentral:rRNA from 1 species
AUUGAACGCUGGCGGCAGGCCUAACACAUGCAAGUCGAACGGUAACAGGAAGAAGCUUGCUUCUUUGCUGACGAGUGGCGGACGGGAGAGGAAUGUCUGGGAAACUGCCUGAUGGAGGGGGAUAACUACUGGAAACGGUAGCUAAUACCGCAUAACGUCGCAAGACCAAAGAGGGGGACCUUCGGGCCUCUUGCCAUCUGAUGUGCCCAGAUGGGAUUAGCUAGUAGGUGGGGUAACGGCUCACCUAGGCGACGAUCCCUAGCUGGUCUGAGAGGAUGACCAGCCACACUGGAACUGAGACACGGUCCAGACUCCUACGGGAGGCAGCAGUAGGGAAUAUUGAACAAUGGGCGCAAGCCUGAUGCAGCCAUGCCGCGUGUGUGAAGAAGGCCUUCGGGUUGUAAAGUACUUUCAGCGGGGAGGAAGGGAGUAAAGUUAAUACCUUUGCUCAUUGACGUUACCCGCAGAAGAAGCACCGGCUAACUCCGUG